ACAAUCUCUCACCACCAAGACUGCUGCUCAGCUGAAAACUCCUGGGCUACAGGACUGGUUAAGUUUCCAGCUCAGCAUGGGUACCAGUUCUCUGCCCCAAGGCACACUACCAUGGUUCCUGCUUUGUUUGUUUCAAGCACGACUCUCUAUGGGGAGUAAGUGCAUUCUGGAAAGUUCUUCCUAGCUCAUAGGGAGAAGAGGCAGAAUGCUCUUCCUUUGGACACUGUCGUGUUUGCCGGUGAUUCCUGGGAUUACGGCAGCUAUUGCCAAGAAGGGCGUCAACCCCAGAGCAGAAUAGAAAAGUGGAGGAUGGCAGAGACAGGUGGUGAGAAGGACCUUCCUUUAUAUGACGUCUUUGCCUGUUGGAGCCACUUUCAUUUUAGGACUGGGUGGUACUUUUUCUCACGAUCUUUCAUCAUAAGAGCAGAUGUCCGCCAUGCAGACAGAGAAUCAAGAAGACAAGCCUAAACAGGGCCCAUAAGUUCUUCUACCAGAAUCAGAAGGUGGAGGACCAGGCUGACGUGUCCUCCCCACUCUCCCGUUGAGGGGCUUCAGUCUCUCUAGGCCCAUCUGUGACUUAAGUCAGAUUUCCAUGGACUAUAUUCUAUUUUUAAGUCCUGUGUUUUCUGAUUGAGAAGCUGCUUUGAAUGAGAUCUCUACCUGUAUAGUUAUGUUACUCUGUGAAUGAAAAAUUUUAUUUACACGUCCAUCUAAGUGCAUAUCUCUUUGUUGCUGUUGCUGUUCAGUCGCUAAGUCAUGUCUGACUCCUUGUGACCCCCAUGGACACCAGGCUCCUCUGUCUAUGGGAUUUCCCAGGCAAGAAGAUUGAAGUGGGUUGCCAUUUCCAGAUCUUCUGACCCAGGGAAUGAACCGAGUGUCCUGCUUAGCAGGCACCUGGGAAGUCUAAUAUCUCUGUAUCUAUUUAUAAAUGCAAAUAUACAUAUACAAAUAUAUACAUAAUAUUAGUCAGAGAUGUAAAACCUCUUUGUUCCACCAGUGUAGCUGCCAGAUGUACCAUUAAAUCUACAUGGAUGGGCACACAGGCUUCAACUGAGCCCAGCACAGAAUCCCUGACCUGGGUGUUUCCAUCACAGGUCAGAGGCCAACAGAAGCAGUAUCAGCCUCCAGAUCACCUAAAU
ensembl:lncRNA